rnacentral:lncRNA from 1 species
AACCAAACACUCUUCCCAGGGAUAGAAAAAGAGUAAUCACUUCCUAACUUCUUUUAUGAGUACAGCAUAACAAUGAUAACAAUGAUACCUGAGAACAUUACAAGAAAGGAAAAUUAUAGGCUAAUGUCUCUCAUGAAUAUAGCUACAAGAAACCCUAAAUAGGAUUAUGACAGAUUGAUUUGUAUGAUAUAUAAAAAGGAUACUACAUCACAAAUAAGAAGGAUUUAUGACUACAGUUCAAGUUGUGGUUUAACAUUUAAAAAUUAGUCAAUAUAUUUUGCCACAUUUGCAUAAUAAAGAAAAACUAAUAUACAGAAAAAGCAUUUAAUAAUAUUCAACACUGAUUCAUGAAAAAUGUCUAAGCAUGUGAGGAAUAAGAGGGGAUUCCUCAUUUUGAUAAAACACUAUUUUCUCCAAAAUUCUAUAGCUAAUAUUAUUCUUUUUUUUAACAUUUUAGUUGUAGUUGGACACAAUACCUUUAUUUUUAUUUUUAUGUGGUACUGAAAAUCGAACCCAGCAUCCUGCAUGUGCUAGGCGAGUGCUCUAUCGAUAAGCCAAAACCCCAGCCCCUAAUAUUAUUCUUAAUUAUGAAAUUUGAAUCCUUUACUCCUGAGAUCAGAUCCAGAUAUCAGCUAUCUCUAUGUCAUUGGCAUUUUACUGGAGUUUCUAGCCAGUGCAUCGAGAAAGAAAAGGAAAUAAAAUUUUGAAAUAUUGGAAAGGAAGAAAUAAAACUGUCAAUAUUUGUAGCUAGAUGAUCAUAUGCAAAUCCAAAGAAUUGAUGAACAAUUAGUAUUUAAGAAUGAAUUUACCAGGAUCAUGGGAUAGAAGAUCAAUAUGCAAAAACACUAAUGUAUCUAAAUAAUAACAGCAAACAAUUGGAAAAGAAAAUAAAAUUAGUUUCCACAGUGAAUGUAUACACCUACACAAACACACACACACACAAAUCCUAUGAAUAAAUCCAAUGAAAGUGUUCAAGCC